GAUUUCUGGUCUGGCGCGCCUGGCCCGCCGUGCAAACGUGUGAGUGCCGGGUCGCGCCUGCCAUCCUUCUAGAGAACGUGCCUACCCUUCACUGGGCCGGGUUACGCCAUCUAGAUCUUUUACUUUGAAAAAAUUAGAGUGUUUAAAGCAGGCUGUUUGCUAUGAAUACAUUAGCAUGGAAUAAUAAUUUAGGACUUCGGUUCUAUUUUGUUGGUCUUCUAGGACUGAAGUAAUGAUUGAUAGGGAUAGUUGGGGGUGCUAGUAUUCAGUGGCCAGAGGUGAAAUUCUCGGAUUCACUGAAGACUAACUUAUGCGAAAGCAUU
rnacentral:rRNA from 1 species